GUCUAUGUAGUGCAAUGGAUAGCACGUUGGACCUCCAAUCCAAAGGUUGUGGGUUCGAAUCCCACCUGGGAUG
rnacentral:tRNA from 1 species